UAUUCUUGCAUUAGUUUAAUUAUUUGCAAAAUAAUUGCAAAGAAACCUGUUAAUUGUAUCAUAAUCUAUCUGAUUGUUUUUUAGCCGACUCAAAAUCAUGCUGUUAAUUAGGGCCCCCUGUUGUACAUGUACUUAGGAAUCAGACACCUCCAGAAGAUGAAAGAUCUACUUUACAUCUUUUUCAACGAAAGUACAAUUACUUUGAGAAGUAGGAGAAGCUAAGCAACAGGACAGAAUUCAUUUGAGGCAUUGCUUUCUAGAUUAUAUAGUGGAGUCAUAGAUCGUCCUAUUGAUUUAUGUGCAUAUGAGGAGCAGAAGUCAAUGAAUAAUUUUGUGAUGAGAGCAGUACAUUGUAUUACAACAAAUGGACAGAGGAGUUGACUAUUGGUAGUGACUGAUAAUGGACUGGAGUAACCUAGGGUCCAAUGACUCCAUGCCUGACAGUCCAUGUGUACAUAAUUAGCUCCUCAGAUAUAAGUGGAAGGGAAGCUAUAUACAUUAUAUGUUUAAAUGAAAUUAACAACA